rnacentral:lncRNA from 10 species
UUUACUCCUGCUCUGACCAUGUGAUGUGCCUGCUCCCGCUUCACCUUCCACUAUGAGUAAAAGCUUCGUGAGGCUGCCCCAGAAGCAGAGACUGGAGCUACACUUCCUGUUCAGCCUGCAGAACUAAACCAAGAUGGCCCCGAGUUCCACACGGAGCACUGCAGGAGAGCAGUCUGUCAGCCUAAGUGACUGAGUCUGUCAGCCUAAGUGACUAUGUAUAGUGGAGAUGCUGAGCUGGACUGCAUGAAACAUUUAGGUUGAGAAAGCACUAGAAAAAAAAUAACAACAACUUCUGUUGCAUUAAGCCAUAGAAUGUUGGGGGUGUUGUCAUCUCAGCAUAACCUACCCUAUGCUGACAGAUACAAGUAAAAGAAAACAAAAUGCAAAAAAGAAGAAGUGGAAGAGUUAGAUAUUUGUAGACAAAAAGAAAACAGCAACAGUGAAUUUAGUCUACAGUAGACAAAUUUUGGGGCUUCUUGAUGGAUGUUUUUGGAGUUUAAUCUCAACUCUACCACUUACUAUCUGUGUGAUAUGGAGUUUCUUAACCUCCCUGAUCCUCAGUUCCCUCAUCUGCAAAACAGAAAAAUCAAGUGAUACUGACUUUCUGGAGUUGUUGCAUAGAUGAAAGUUAAAUGAGAUAAUUUAUGUGUAAGCACCUUACCUGUCAUGCUGUGGGUGCCCAAUGAAUGAUGAUUAAAUGAGUGAAUGAAUGGAAAGAAGUCACAGGUGAAGCCAGGAAGGGCAGAGGUGGAGGAAGCCAUGGAGUUAGAGAAUGCCUCCAAUUGCUAAGCAGGCCCUUGCUCUGAAUCUCCCAAGUCUGUCACUGUGCAUUGUAAUUUAGUAAAUCAUUUCAUGC